CACUGAUCAUAUCUGCAAAGGGCUGAAUGAACUAAACCUCAUUCGAUGUAAGAAAAUCCCAAAGAGGCCUGGUGCUGAUUGGCGUGACCUGCCGGACGAAAACGUUAGUCUUACUAUAUAUGAUACAUCCUAUCGACUACAAGAAUUCUUACUAAAUCGAUCUAUAUGUCACCUUCAUGCAAUGUUUUUAAUACUACAGGUGACAUUAUCAAAUGGACUCGUGGAAAAACUGCGUCCUUUAGCUCUAUCAAAGACAGCUAAAAACCACAACGAAUGGAAGGGACUCUAUGGUAGAUUGGACUGGCAAGGAAACUUACCCAUUUCCAUCACCGAUCCGCAGCCCAUGGGUAAGGUGGGAAUGUGCUUCCAUCCAGAACAGGACAGAAUUAUCACUGUCCGUGAAUGCGCCCGAUCUCAGGUAAGAAAAGUUCUUAUGUUCCUUCUUCUUCAAUCCUCUAGCAUCAGUAAUAGAGUGUAGAUAUUUUUGUUUUGUUUUGGAAGUUAAGUAAUGUUAAGGUUAUG
rnacentral:lncRNA from 1 species